rnacentral:lncRNA from 1 species
UAAUGGUAAAGAUGAGGGUUCAAGAUGGGGUUUUCUUGAAAUGGCAGUCACCUUAUUUUGUUUUUGUUUAGGAUUUAGUGACCUCUUUUUUUUUGUUUUUCUUUAUCCCUAAUUUUUCCUGGACCGCUUCUUUGAGGCUUUCGGUCCAUCGGGAUGCCCUAACUUUUGCCUAAGUCAUUUUGUGGUAUUUAACUUAGCGGGCUUCUUUCUAUUUUUUU